GACGAACGCUGGCGGCGUGCUUAACACAUGCAAGUCGAACGGAAAGGCCCUGCUUUUGUGGGGUGCUCGAGUGGCGAACGGGUGAGUAACACGUGAGUAACCUGCCCUUGACUUUGGGAUAACUUCAGGAAACUGGGGCUAAUACCGGAUAGGAGCUCCUGCUGCAUGGUGGGGGUUGGAAAGUUUCGGCGGUUGGGGAUGGACUCGCGGCUUAUCAGCUUGUUGGUGGGGUAGGGGCUUACCAAGGCUUUGACGGGUAGCCGGCCUGAGAGGGUGACCGGCACCGUUGGGACUGAGAUACGGCCCAGACUCCGACGGGAGGCAGCAGUGGGGAAUAUUGCACAAUGGGCGGAAGCCUGAUGCAGCAACGCCGCGUGCGGGAUGACGGCCUUCGGGUUGUAAACCGCUUUCGCCUGUGACGAAGCGUGGGUGACGGUAAUGGGUAAAGAAGCACCGGCUAACUACGUGCCAGCCGCCGCGGUAAAAC
rnacentral:rRNA from 1 species